AGCAGUACCUGUGUGGCCAGCACAGCAGCAGUCCAGGAGACAAGCUGCACCAGAGAGCCGGAAGCUAGAGCUCUCAACGCUGCCGGACAGGGAAGGAGAGAAGAACAGGAGAGAAGACGGAGCCCGUCUGAAACACAAGGGCACACUUGAUGUCUCACGACACUCUCUGACUCCUUGCUUCGAACAUAAAGCGCCUGCCAUUCUCCCGACUCCCUGCCCUCCUUGCGCUUCUCCAUGUUUACUGGCCUCUUCAGCUGGACUGAAAUUGCCACACAGGUGGCUGGCCUUGUUUUUCACACUGAAUGACCAUCUGUAGAGAGAAUGAAUGAGAGCCAGACAGCCUGUCAGCAGAGCGUAUGCCAAACCAAGCCACAAAAUAUGGCCAGCCAGUACUCAAUGGUAUAGCACUAGCCCUUGGUGGUCCCUAGGGAAGUCUACUUGCAAGGAAGCCUCUUCACACACAGACCUGGGCCAAAAGCCUACUGAGGAGCUUCUUGUGGUAACAAGAAGACAGUGGGCAAGCCCUGCCUGGGCACAAGAAAACUCUACCGAUGCCUUCUCCCUCCCUGCUGCCCCAAGCUACUUGAUCUUAGCCAGAGGAAUAGGAAAUUGAGUUAUACGUUUUCUUGCUGCUGAGAGGCCAGGAGCAUCAAUUCCCUGGCUCAAGAUAACCACAGGGCCAAGGUUAACCUUACCUGUGAGGACAGUAACUGUGGACGGCAGCCACAUGCUGGCUCCCAUCUCUGAACAGUUCCGAUGCACCCAAAUGCCAACUGAUCAUUGGCAAGGAAGGAGGAGUCUAACUCCCAGGAGAGGAUUCACAGGACUGCAGAUCAGAACCACUGCUGAAGAUUGACACUCAGGCCACGAUGCAGUAAGAAACAGAACAUGCCGUGCCAGGAUUCAAUGCACUAGAUCACACGGGUACCGUGAACAUGAGCCUCCUCCAACACUGUGAGACGCUCCCAACUGUUCAGCUCCACACAGUCCCACAACCAGUAACCCUGGAAGAUGUCACCUCUUCUAAAGUCUAUCAACUGGCCAGCAGAAUACCAGCAAGCAACACCCUGCCCACUAGGACCCAGGAAAGGAGCCACUGGGUGAGUUCCAGAGCUAGAGAUGCGGCUCACUUGGUAGAGCUAUUGUCUAACAUGCAUAAAACCAAAGGUUUCGGCCCUUAACACUACAUAAACCAGGCAUAGUGGUCUGAGCCUAUGCUAGCCACAAUCCUAACACUAAAGAGGUCAAGGCAGGAGGACCAGAAGUUCAAGGUCUUCAUCAACUAUGUAUAGUGUUUGGAGCCAGCCUGGACUACACGAGACCCUGCCUCAAAAAUUACUUAAGUCAGUAAGAACAACUAUAUCAAUCUUUCUUUUACACCUUAGUAUGAGAGACUGGUUUUAUUAGUGCCAAAGAUUGUCCCCGUUCCUCCUAAGGACCUUGUCACCUACAAUGCCAGGGCCCUCCCUGCUCAAAGAAAUCAACAAAAACAUUAGCGCUGCUUUAGAUGAGACCCAACAAGCUAAGGCCAACUUUAUAUUAGAUUUCACUAGUAAAUACUUAAUCCUCAGAAGCAUAACAGGGAAGUCUGUCUGUCUGUCUGUCUGUCUGUUUCUCUCUCUCUCUCACACACACACACACACACACACUCACACAUACGCACACUCACAUAUUAAUGUUGAAAGACUUAGCUUUGUCUGUGGGGAAAUGUAAGCUCCAUCCAUACUUGGUAGAAACGGAUCUUGGAAGGUGAAGUUUUAAGUAUGAAAACACGGGGUAGGGUUGAGGGAGCAGUCACAAAUAAACAGUAGAGAAGAAUGAACGCUCAGAUCAGCUUGCUGGGCCUGGAAUGAAGCACUGAGAGCCUCCUUCCCACCCUAGCACCUAUACCAUAAACACCAGGGAAAACCACGACAAGACACACAGAGUCAACUUGCCUCUUUCCGGAGCUUUCCUGGGCAGCUUGCAGCCUGGACUCCCCAUUGCUGCUCAUGGCUGCCCACAUCCAACGGGCCCAUUCCACUGGGGACCACAUCUGCCAGGAGUCAAAAGCCAUCUCCAUGGAAAAAUUCCCACCUAUACUGUUCUUGCUGGUAUCUCUUGAGAUCUAAACCUCUUUCAUGGCACCGCCAAAAAAGGAAGCUUCCCCAGCCCCCAGCAAGGAACACUGUGAGCAUCUCCUGUAUUCCAAGGUGCCAGGCUGCCUGCUCAAACUGAGAUGCAGAGAGAGAGAGAGAGAGAGAGAGAGAGAGAGAGAGAGAAAGAGAGAGAGAGAGAGAAAGACCCAAAGCUUGUCCUAUUGCUUCUGCAACCCUGGGCACUGGUAACCCAAGGCUUUUAGAUUAUAAAGGGCCCUGGUCUUUCUCAAUAGCACAAGUGACAAGGAGGGCCGGAUGCUCUUGCGUCCUAGCUGUGAAUUCCAAUGAGGUUUCUACUGCAGCAGCUGCCUGCCUGCACACCUGCUCAGAGGACCACUAUUCACCCAGGGACUGGAAGGGAAGCAGUCUGGGGGAGGCGGGCAUGAAGACACCGUGCUCAUUGUCCUAAUAAGACCUCGUUGUCUUUUUACUAUGAACUGUGUGCAUCGGAACACCACAGGCCACUAGCAUGACACUUUGGGAGCUGCUGGCCUUGUUUGCAUAUUUCCACACUUUCUCCCAGGAGCAGAGAGCAAGUUAAUUAGAGGCGACAGAUAGCAGUUUUUAAAAUUCUCUCUUUCCUCCCUGUUCAGUCACCCAGGGGCUUAAAAACAUUUCAAGAGUGAGAAUUUCUGUAGUCCACCCACCAAGAAUCUGUGCAUAAGAAUAAAGUGGCUGGGUGGGGUUCUAGCCCCAAGUCCCAGUGAUCGAGUCCCACUGUGGUGUGGCUGGUUUUCUACUUACACAAAUAAUUACACAGCUGAGACUCCACACACUUUCAGAAUAGAAAAAAAGGAGAUUAAUUUGACACAAAUAUGUACCAGAACAAGAAAUGGUGCCACAAUUUGCUAAAACCCCUCCAAAUUUCAGGAGGUAGGUUUCUCAGGAUGUAUAAAUAUUAUGUCUACCAUUUAAGUAAAUACGAGAGUAUAAUAUAUGUGUGUAUAUGUGUGUGUGUAUAUGUACAUAUAAAUAUAAGACAUUAAACACAAGAGUAUAAUGCACACAUAUAUCUCACACACACAUAACCCACACAUAACACACAUAAUCGCGAAUGCCCGAGUUCACAGGUAGGCUUCUAUAUGAAAAGCACACCAGCCAGCAUUUGUGGAACAUUUAGUCGUGUGUCAAGACAUGAGUCUAGGUCUAUCUAUCAUCUUCAGAACUAUGGGCUAGGGAUGUAGCUCAGUUGAUAAGUGCUCGCCUAGCAUGCAUAAGGCCCUGGGUUCAAUCCCCAGCACCGCAUAAACUAGGCACGUGAUGUAUGAAAACAACAAAAUGACUACAACAAUCUACAAGUAGCCUGAAAGGUGGAGAACAGGCAGGCCUCACUGAUGACACAGCUAUGGUUUAGAGAAGCAAAAAGCUGUUUGCAAGGCUAUGCAAGCUAGGAAAUGAGAAGAUCAAAGCUCAGAUCCCAAACUGCUAGCCUCUGAGGUGUCUGCUCACCAUAUCUAUGGUUUCUUGAAACCUUUAGCAAGAUCCAUUUUUAUGUCCUUAUCAUACAAAGUCUAUCAUGGAGAAUAAUUAAGCUGUCCAAGUGAACUUGUAAAUGUGACACUGAGGGACAGGGAGAUCCCAGCCACAGCAUUAUCCUUGUUGCUCUUUCCCUUGUUUGCACAAGGUUAGGGAAGUCCCAACCAUCCAAUGGAGUGAUUACUAACAGCCCUGUUCUUCUAACAGUCUGUCCUGUGAUCAUGGGAUUCUCUACAAGGCAAACGGGGCAGGGCAGGGCAGGGCAGGGCAGCCAUCAAACGGCACAUGCCAAUUCAUCCGCCAGUACAAAACAGUAUUUGGGGAAUAUUCAACACCACAGUGGGGUAUGUAGAUGGGAAGAAUGAUGGAAAUGACAGAUUGUCCUAGCCAUGGAAACUGGGGCCUGAAGGACUCCCCAGCUGUGUUAGUACAGUUUAAAACAUUCCUCCGAAGCUGGGCGUGGUGGUGCACACCUUUAUUCUCAGCACUUGGGAGGCAGAGGCAGGCGGAUUUCUGAGUUCGAGGCC